rnacentral:tRNA from 1 species
GGAGAGGUGCCGGAGUGGCCGAACGGGCUUGACUCGAAAUCAAGUGUACGGGUGACCGUACCGUGGGUUCGAAUCCCACCCUCUCCGCCA